rnacentral:rRNA from 1 species
CUUAAUCGGAUCGCAUGGGCUUGUCCCGCGACAAACCAUUCAAGUUUCUGCCCCAUCAUGCUUUCGAUGGUAGUGUAUUGGACUACCAUGGCUUUCACGGGUAACGGAGGAUUAGGGUUCGAUUCCGGAGAGGGAGCCUGAGAAACGGCUACCACUUCCACGGAAGGCAGCAGGCGCGUAAAUUACCCAAUCCUGACUCAGGGAGGUAGUGACAAGAAAUAAUGGGUCGGGGUUCUGCCCCGGGACCGCAAUGAGACGAAUUUAGACCCCUUAUCGAGGACCAAUUGGAGGGCAAGUCUGGUGCCAGCAGCCGCGGUAAUUCCAGCUCCAAUAGCGUAUAUUAAAGUUGUUGCAGUUAAAAAGCUCGUAGUUGGAUUUCUGGUAGUGGGCAAGAGCUCGUUGCACGUUGCUCGCGUUCAUUGCCAUCCUUCUGUUAACCUAUCAGGGCAUUCUAUUGUCAGUUAGGGGCUCAGAUAUUUUACCUUGAGAAAAUUAGAGUGUUUCAGGCAGGCUUGUGCCCGGAUACAUUAGCAUGGAAUAAUGGAAUAGGACUUUAGCCUCUUCUGUUGGUCUGAGGGGUUGAAGUAAUGAUUAAUAGGGAUAGUUGGGGGCAUUAGUACUUAACUGUCAGAGGUGAAAUUCUCGGAUUUGUUAAAGACUAACUUAUGCGAAAGCAUUUGCCAAGGAUGUUUUCAUUAAUCAAGAACGAAAGUUAGGGGAUCAAAGACGAUCAGAUACCGUCCUAGUCUUAACCAUAAACUAUGCCGACUCGGGAUCGGGGGCCAGAGUUAACUGCCUUCGGCACCGUAUGAGAAAUCAAAGUCUUUGGGUUCUGGGGGGAGUAUGGUCGCAAGGCUGAAACUUAAAGGAAUUGACGGAAGGGCACCACCAGGCGUGGAGCUUGCGGCUCAAUUUGACUCAACACGGGGAAACUUACCAGGUCCAGACAUAGUGAGGAUUGACAGAUUGAUAGCUCUUUCUUGAUUCUGUGGGUGGUGGUGCAUGGCCGUUCUUAGUUGGUGGAGUGAUUUGUCUGGUUAAUUCCGUUAACGAACGAGACCUUAGCCUACUAAAUAGUCGCAACAAUUACGAUUGGCUGCGUCUUCUUAGAGGGACUUUGCAAGCAACUGCAAGGAAGUUUGAGGCAAUAACAGGUCUGUGAUGCCCUUAGAUGUCCUGGGCCGCACGCGUGCUACACUGACGCAUACAGCGAGUAUCACCAGCUCCGUGAGGCUGCUGGUAAUCAGCAAUAUGCGUCGUGCUGGGGAUAGAUCUUUGGAAUUUUUGAUCUUGAACGAGGAAUGCCUAGUAAGCGCAGGUCAUCAGCCUGCGUUGAUUAAGUCCCUGCCCUUUGUACACACCGCCCGUCGCUCCUACCGAUUUCGAGUGGUCCGGUGAACCCUUUGGACCGAGAGCGCCUCGUGAGCUU